rnacentral:lncRNA from 1 species
GUGUCGAGAGAAGGAUAUCCCCUACCUUGAAGUCAGCGCCAAAAGCGACAUCAAUGUGGGGCAGGCCUUUGAGAUGCUGGCCAGUCGGGCUCUGUCGAGGUACCGCAACAUCCUGGAGAGCCACCUCACCGACUCCAUCAAGCUCUCGCCCCACCAGGCCCGGAGAAGAUGCUGCUGACUCCCGCACCGACACGGCCGGCCGCGGGCCUGGCCCCUCCGCUGGAGCGCAGGUGACACCAGCCAGCAGCCCCCCAGCCUGGCGGGCUGAGCCAGAACCCUUGACCCCUCGGCUGGACCCAGAACCAGGGAGGCCACAGCUGGGCCUGGAAGGUCACAGCCAACAUGCGGACCCUGGAGGAGACACAACUCCCUGAGUGGCCCCAGACGGCACACCUCAGCAGAGGCCAGUCCUGCCAGCUCCUGGGCCUGACCUCCCUGUCCCUGCACCUCCCACCCCAAAGCCAUGAGCACAGACGGCAAUGUGGCUCGGCCGCCCUCGGCAACCAGAACAAGGGUUGAGGCUGUGCACCCCACGUGCGAGCCCUGCCCCAGCGCCCAGCAGGGAAGCCGGAGAGCCCACUCUGCUCUUUGCAGAAGGGACUGAAGAGGCCCAGAGCAGCCCACCGGGCGCUCGCGGGCAUUCCUCCUCUCUGGGUGCUCGGCAGCCCACAUGCGUGUCUCAAGGCUCAGUUUUCUCCUCUGUGAAAUGGGUGAAUGUGUGGUUCUGAGGCCGAGGCUGCACUGAAUCUCGGUUGCUGCUGAUGCGCACGCCUGCUUCUUCUGCACGUUUUUCUGAGCACCUGCCACUUCCGAUGCCCUAAGGUCCAGGGACGAACCACACAGGCGAGGGAGCGGGGGCGGGGCGGCAGGCAGGGAGUCUAAACAGGGGUUUGGAGACAGCAGGUAAAUGAGCUAGAGAACGAGAAGGCAGGUGCCACCCGGGAGCCGGAGGAAGGUGUUCAGCGAGAGAAAGGAGCAAGAGCCCAGGCCCCGAGGUGAGGCCCAGGAACAGUGAAAGGGCGUUCCUUUGUGGGGGGGGGGGGCAGGAAAACCGCUCGGCGCCCCCUGGAUGCGCCUUGCUGUUCUACAGUUCAGCCACCAGAGGGCAGCAGUGCCCCUUCUCGGCCAGGCUGAGCUCCACGGACCCUGGCGGAGCUGCUAGGACGCGUUCCUGACCUCAGGACAGGAGAAUCCCAGUUUCUUAAGCUUCGGAAGAAAUGGGCAAAAACUGCAAUGCGUGUGAUUCAGGAAAGAAGCCAGCUCUGACGGUGGCAGGCAGGCA